rnacentral:rRNA from 1 species
GAAAGUAAAGAAGGGCGCAUGGCGGAUGCCUUGGCUCUCGGAGGCGAUGAAGGACGUGAUAAGCUGCGAUAAGCUCCGGGGAGGUGCAAAUAACCUUUGAUCCGGGGAUUUCCGAAUGGGACAACCCGGCGUGUUGAAGACACGCCACCUGAUCAUUUCAGGAGCUAACGCAGGGAACUGAAACAUCUUAGUACCUGCAGGAAAAGAAAAUAACAAUGAUUCCCCCAGUAGUGGCGAGCGAACGGGGAAUAGCCCAAACCGUUCAUGUUACGGCAUGAUCGGGGUUGUAGGACUACGUCGUUGCAUGAAGACAUCGGAGAAGAACUUUCUGGAAAGAAAGACCAUAGAGCAUGACAGUUGCGUAUUCGUAUGUUGUCGAAGCAUAGUAGUAUCCUGAGUAGCGCGGAGCACGAGGAAUUCUGCGUGAAUCUGCCGGGACCAUCCGGUAAGGCUAAAUACUCCCGAGAGACCGAUAGCGAACCAGUACCGUGAGGGAAAGGUGAAAAGCACUUCGAACAGAAGAGUGAAAUAGUUCCUGAAACCGUGCGCCUACAAGCGGUCGGAGCUGCUUAAAGCAGUGACGGCGUGCCUUUUGCAUAAUGAACCUACGAGUUGCCUUUGCCGGCAAGGUUAAGUGUGACGACACACGUAUCCGAAGCGAAAGCGAGUCUGAAGAGGGCGUAUAGUCGGCAGUGGCAGACGCGAAACCAAGUGAUCUACCCUUGGCCAGGUUGAAGGCUGGGUAACACCAGCUGGAGGACCGCACCAAUAAGCGUUGAAAAGCUUCUGGAUGAGCUGAGGGUAGGGGUGAAAGGCUAAUCAAACUUGGAGAUAGCUCGUACUCCCCGAAAUGCAUUUAGGUGCAGCCUUGUGGGUUACUGAUGUGAGGUAGAGCGACUGAUAAGAUGCGAGGGCUUCACCGCCUAUCAAGUCUUGACAAACUCCGAAUGCGCAUCAGUUUUACCUCAGGAGUGAGGGCAUGGGUGCUAAGGUCCGUGCCCGAGAGGAGAAGAAUCCGGACCACCUGCUAAGGUCCCGAAAUGACAGCUAAGUUAAACUAACGAAGUCUGACUGCUAAGACAGCUAGGAUGUUGGCUUGGAAGCAGCCAUUCAUUUAAAGAGUGCGUAACAGCUCACUAGUCGAGGAGUCUGGCGUGGAUAAUAAUCGGGUAUUAAGUUGUCUACCGAAGCAGUGGGAUCAUUGAAAUGAUCGGUAGGGGAGCAUUCCAGUCAGCGUCGAAGGCGUACCGCGAGGUAUUCUGGAGCGUCUGGAAAAGCAAAUGUAGGUAUAAGUAACGAUAAAGGGGGCGGGAAACCCCCUCGCCGAAAGACUAAGGUUUCCUGAUCAACGCUAAUCGGAUCAGGGUUAGUCGGGUCCUAAGGCUCAGCCGAACGGUGAGGCCGAUGGCAGAACAGGUUAAUAUUCCUGUACUACCUUAAGGAGUGACGUGGAGACGGAGCAGUGACAGCGCCGCGGACUGACGGAAUAGUCCGUUGAAGGGUGUAGAUGUUGAUCUUUGCAGGCAAAUCCACAAAGAGAGUCGAACCUGAUAGUAUGGAGCGUUCUUCGGAACAAUCCAAUAGUGCGUGUAAACAUACUCCCAAGAAAAUCCGCUAAACUUAAUCUUUAAGGUACCCGUACCGCAAACGGACACACGUAGUCGGGUUGAAUAUACUAAGGCGCUUGAGUGAUUCACGGUUAAGGAACUAGGCAAAUUGACCCUGUAACUUCGGGAUAAAGGGUCCUCGUCGUAAGGCGAGGCGCAGAGAAUAGGUCCAGGCAACUGUUUAACAAAAACACAUGGCUGUGCUAAAUGGAAACAUGACGUAUACAGCCUGACACCUGCCCGGUGCCGGAAGGUUAAGAGGAGAUGUCAUCCGCGAGGAGAAGCGUUGAAUUGAAGCCCCGGUAAACGGCGGCCGUAACUAUAACGGUCCUAAGGUAGCGAAAUUCCUUGUCGGGU